AUUGAACGCUGGCGGCAGGCCUAACACAUGCAAGUCGAGCGGAGCGGCGGACGGGUGAGUCAUGCCUAGGAAUCUGCCUGGUAGUGGGGGAUAACGUCCGGAAACGGGCGCUAAUACCGCAUACUAUCAGAUGAGCCUAGGUCGGAUGAGCUAGUUGGUGGGGUAAAGGCCUACCAAGGCGACGAUCCGUAACUGGUCUGAGAGGAUGAUCAGUCACACGGGAACUGAGACACGGUCCAGAGGCCUACGGGAGGCAGCAGUGGGGAAGAUUGGACAAUGGGCGAAAGCCUGAGACAGCCAUGCCGCGUGUGUGAAGAAGGUCUUCGGAGUGUAAAGCUCUUUAAGUUGGGAGGCGUUACCAACAGAAGAAGCACCGGCUAACUACGUGCCAGCAGCCGCGGUAAUAC
rnacentral:rRNA from 1 species